CUCCUUUUCCUUCCCCACCCUAAUAUAGUUCAUAAAUAUAUGUGUUGUACUUUGUCAUUAUAAGUAAAAUAAAUACUCUUUUCAUCGCCCAGACCAUACCAUACCCUCCCAGUUCAUCUCCUGAAUCAGACCCUUUCCCCUCUAGACCAUUCUUUAUAGAAUGACCAAACUAACCUUUUCAAAAUUGAAAUGAUCAUGUCACUCCCUGGCUUACAACCCUUUAAUGACUUUUUAGAAUAAAAUUGUAUGUAUUACCUUCUUAGAGAAAAUUUCCCAACUAUUUUAUUUCAAGUGGGUCCCUUUUUAUUAACCGGCUCAAUUCUUAUUUCAUACAUACUACCAGUAGCAAUUAUCGCAUUUCUCUGGUGGUAUUAUCAUUGUUGUUCCCCCACCUGCUAAAAUGUAAGUUCUAUGACUACAAGAACUACAUUUCUCUUGGUCAUUGAUGCACCCUCAAUGACUCCUCAAGUACAUGAAGAUCAAAAACUAUUUGUUGAAUAACGAAUGAAGGCGGAUGUGUCUGGGAGGUUGUGGGGAGGGGGUUUCCAGGGGGAGACCAUUCGGGCAGAUGACCAGGAGUGAGUGGGGAGGGAUGGGCCAAAGCAAGAUCCUACAAGGUUUAGCUAAGUUACUGACUUGAGUCCUUAUUCUAGGAGAAAUGAGAAACCACUCAACUGGAGGAUGCUCUUGAACCAGUUAUGAAGCUGUUGUAGCCAUCCUAGUCAUGGAAGACCAGCAUGUGGGAGAACUUUUGUAUUCUGUGAAAGUGUUGCUUCUCUCUCCUUCAGUUUUUGUAAGCAACUUUUAAGUAUUUGAAAACUGCAGAGGCGACAUGUGGAAGAGAUUCUGCCUCAUCUAUGCAGCAGCCCUAUGAUACUGGACAAACCACUUAAUCAGCCUCUGCAGGCCUAUUUUCCUCAUAUAUAAAAUGGACACAGUAUCUUAUUUAUCUCACUGGCUUCUUGAAAUGGGCAUAGUUUUCAUUUUAAUAAGACUAUGUGAAAAUAUUGGUAUACAAAAAAGCAUUGUAUAAUGUUAAAACAUUAUACAUAUUAAUAUGCCUCCACAUCCAGCUCUCUCCAAGUCUAUCCUUUAUUUUCUGGGUUAGCUUUCCUAAGAUAUAACCUAAAUGCAAUCAAUUUCAUCAAUGUAAGUGCACAAUUCAAUGAGUUUUGGCCAAUAAACAGAGCUUUGGCAAUGUAAGAGUAGUGAGUCCCGACUUCUUGUUUUGCUCUUGAACCUGAACUAGCAGCCUCCUUCCCUAAUAAGCUAAUUCUGGCAAAAUUUGGGGAGGCACUGCAGGGAGCCCAGGCUAGAGGCUAUUCCUUCAGUCUUUCCAUGCAGUUCCCUCUAUUAAUUCAUUCAAUGCUGACAUGACCUAAAGUCACUUUUAUUAUUUGCAGCUACAGAACCUUCACUAUUCAGAGGGACUUCUACCUGGAAAACAGGGAAGCAAUAUGACAAAUCUGAACGCUCUGAAUGCUGGGGCCCUAACAUAAGACUCGCCCUACCACUGCUAUCACGCUCAAAGGUUGUCACCAGCAUCCCCCAAACACUGGGACUUUAGUUUUGGAGACAUGAACACAAACACACACGCAGAUUAUACAUACGAUUUUCCCUCUUUCGCAUGCUGAAAUGCUCUUCCAAACUGCUUUACGUGACAGAUCUCAUCUCAAUCUCUCAACCCUGUGGUACCAGCAUCAAUGAGGCUUCCUGAACUACCCCCAUCUAAACUGCCCCCACUCUGUCAUUCUCUAUCCCUUUGCCUUGUUUAUUUUUAUGUCACUUAGUAAAGUCUAUACUUAUUUACUUGUACCUGCUUAUUCCUUGUCAUCUCCUGUCCAUGCCCCUGAGAAUGUAUGCACCAUGACAGGCGGGACUUUUCUGCCUGGAUCAUCACUGUAACCUUAGCACUUGAAACAGUAGCUUGCACAUAGUGGCAUCAUUUAAAAAUAAUCUAAGAUGUUAGACUGCAAAAAAAUUCAGUGAGAAAUAAAGGGACCCAAUAAUUGUUAUGGAAGGCAAUGCUACGCAGACAGGGGAAUAGUAUAGCAGGUGUCUGCAGCCAAGGUGCAAAGUCUGCCGGUAACGGGAUGAACACCACCUUUUGGGAGGCACUACAGCUAGGAAUUGUGCAGUUUCUAGAGCCACCCAGACCUGAGUUCAAAUGCCAGUUAUACAUUUUCUGCUGCGUGAACGUCAGCAAGUUCAUGAACCUCUCAAACCUUCAGUUCCCUCAUCUGCAAUAUGAGAAUAAUAACAGGACCCAGCUCACAUGGCUACUGUGCCGAUGAAAAAGGUGGCACUUAGGUGCUUGCGUUGGCAGCACAUACACUGACGCUGGAAAGAUACCGAGAAUAGUGUGG